UGGGGAAUAUUGCACAAUGGGCGCAAGCCUGAUGCAGCCAUGCCGCGUGUAUGAAGAAGGCCUUCGGGUUGUAAAGUACUUUCAGUCGGGAGGAAGGUGUCAAGGUUAAUAACCUUGGCAAUUGACGUUACCGACAGAAGAAGCACCGGCUAACUCCGUGCCAGCAGCCGCGGUAAUACGGAGGGUGCAAGCGUUAAUCGGAAUUACUGGGCGUAAAGCGCACGCAGGCGGUUGAUUGAGUCAGAUGUGAAAUCCCCGGGCUUAACCCGGGAAUUGCAUCUGAUACUGGUCAGCUAGAGUCUUGUAGAGGGGGGUAGAAUUCCAUGUGUAGCGGUGAAAUGCGGAGAGAUGUGGAGGAAUACCGGUGGCGAAGGCGGCCCCCUGGACAAAGACUGACGCUCAGGUGCGAAAGCGUGGGGAGCAAACAGG
rnacentral:rRNA from 1 species